AGAGUUUGAUCCUGGCUCAGAAUCAACGCUGGCGGCGUGCCUCAGACAUGCAAGUCGAACGCGAAAGUUCCCUUCGGGGAGCGAGUAGAGUGGCGUCCGGGUGAGUAACACGUAGGUAAUCUACCUUUGGGUGGGGAAUAACAACCGGAAACGGUUGCUAAUACCGCAUAAUGCAGCGGCACCGCAUGGUGACAGUUGUUAAAGCGGGGGAUCGCAAGACCUCGCGCCUAAAGAGGAGCCUGUGGCGGAUUAGCUAGUUGGCAGGGUAACGGCCUACCAAGGCGACGAUCCGUAGCCGGCCUGAGCGGGCGGUCGGCCACACUGACACUGAAAUACGGGUCAGACUCCUACGGGAGGCAGCAGUCGGGAAUUUUGGGCAAUGGGCGCAAGCCUGACCCAGCAACGCCGCGUGAAGGAUGAAAUCCCUCGGGAUGUAAACUUCGCAAGAACGGGAAGAAUAAGUCUGUGCGAAUACCGCAGAUGAUGACGGUACCGUUUGUAAGCUCCGGCUAACUCCGUGCCAGCAGCCGCGGUAAUACGGGGGGAGCAAGCGUUGUUCGGAUUUACUGGGCGUAAAGGGCGCGUAGGCGGUCAGUGCAAGUCAGUUGUGAAAUCUCCGGGCUUAACUCGGAAAGGUCAACUGAUACUGCUCGACUAGAGUGCGGAAGGGGCAACUGGAAUUCUUGGUGUAGCGGUGAAAUGCGUAGAUAUCAAGAGGAACACCUGCGGCGAAGGCGGGUUGCUGGGCCGACACUGACGCUGAUGCGCGAAAGCUAGGGGAGCGAACGGGAUUAGAUACCCCGGUAGUCC
rnacentral:rRNA from 1 species